rnacentral:rRNA from 1 species
UACAGGGGGGGCAAGCGUUGUUCGGAAUUACUGGGCGUAAAGGGCUCGUAGGCGGCCAACUAAGUCAGACGUGAAAUCCCUCAGCUUAACUGGGGAACUGCGUCUGAUACUGGAUGGCUUGGAUUCGGGAGAGGAAUGCGGAAUUCCAGGUGUAGCGGUGAAAUGCGUAGAUAUCUGGAGGAAUACCGGUGGCGAAGGCGGCAUCCUGGACCGACAUUGACGCUGAUGAGCGAAAGCUAGGGGAGCAAACGGG